rnacentral:rRNA from 1 species
UUGGAGGGCAAGUCUGGUGCCAGCAGCCGCGGUAAUUCCAGCUCCAAUAGCGUAUAUUAAAGUUGUUGCAGUUAAAAAGCUCGUAGUUGAAUUUUGGGUCUGGCCGGGCGGUCCGCCUUCUGGGUGAGUACUGUUCCGAUGUCGGGCCUAUCCUUCUGGUGAAUCGGCAUGCCCUUUACUGGAUGUGUCGGGGAACCAGGACCAUUACCUUGAAAAAAUUAGAGUGUUCAAAGCAGGCGCAUGCUCGAAUACAUUAGCAUGGAAUAAUGAAAUAGGACGCGUGGUGCUAUUUUGUUGGUUUCUAGAACCGCCGUAAUGAUUAAUAGGGAUAGUUGGGGGCAUUAGUAUUCAAUUGUCAGAGGUGAAAUUCUUGGAUUUAUUGAAGACUAACUUCUGCGAGAGCAUUUGCCAAGGAUGUUUUCAUUAAUCAAGAACGAAAGUUAGGGGAUCGAAGACGAUCAGAUACCGUCGUAGUCUUAACCAUAAACUAUGCCGACUAGGAAUCAGACGAUGUUAAUUUUUUAAUGACUCGUUUGGCACCUUACGGGAAACCAAAGUGUUUGGGUUC